ensembl:lncRNA
CAACAAAAAAAAGUGAAGAAAUACCUGAAAAAUUGUGCACAAUCUCUUAACUUCAUGAUGGAAUGCUGGAUUGUCAGAAACAUCAAUUAUGAAAAUCAUUUUUACAAGAAGUCAGUAGAAGAGAUAGCAGCAAAUGGUCGUACUCAGUUGAUAACUUCCUCUCAGCAUCCUCCACCUCUAAGGCCUUGGGCCUCACUCUGACCAGGGACUUUGAAUCUCAUCAAACAACACCUGAAUGAGGAGCAGUUGUGUGAAGUGCACAAAUGCGAGGUGCGGUACUGCCCUGAUGUCUUCACAGAGAGGUGAAAAUGUUUGAUGCAAGGGUAGAUGUUGAAUGUGCCCCAUUCAUGAGGUAGCUGAAGAAGAAAGAACCUGACUGCAGGCACGAUUACAUUCCAUUGAAUGCUAUCAAGGUUCUGAUACAAUGUCAGCAAAGGCCAAUGUAAGAGCAACGUGAUGGAAGGCACGGAGCAAUACCCCCUGUAUAAAGAUAUAGGAUGCCAGAGUCCCACAUGUGGCUUGGCUGCAUACAUGCUAUGUAUGACUUGGUACCUGGUAAAUUAACACGGAGCUAUCCCUGACACUGAACAUAAAUGGAAUUCAAUCAGGUUCCAACUUUAAACAGGAGGACUGAGGAGACUUCUUAAAUGAGACAGCCGGAGCCUUUUUACAACAUGUUGUGUUGGUGACUGGAUAGUUCUGGGGACUAAUGAGGAGAUAUAAAAUCACAGUGAAGUUGGUGACCAUUUCUAAUCCAAAUAAUAAACUCACUCAUCAACUGUCUUCUAGAGCAAGUGAAGAAAGUGAAUGGUGCCCUGCCUUAGCUUCCUUUAUGUGCUUCCAGUUUUCUGAAAUCAGCCAUGUCUUCUGCAGAUAGGACUGUAACAGCUUGAUGGAUACCUCAGGAUCAGUUUAUACACGAGAAGUUUUCUUCAACAGCUUUCCAGCCCUGAGCAGCACUGGACCAAGCCGUGGUGUUGGUUCUCCAGAGCAGCAGCAGCAGCAGCCCUAGCAGCCAUCCCUUCUCUGAGCGUGGAAGUCUGUGUUUCCUGAAUCAACACACUCAGCACUUGGCUUUUUCUUCCCGCUAUUACUCAGAUCACAGCCCUGAUCACAUCGUGCACUACACACAUCGCUUAUGCUGCUGGUACGUGUUUUGUAGCCACGAGAACAGCAAGCAGACAAUUCACUAAACUUUGUAAUUGAUCACUAAUGGAUGUGGUAAAGUUCUCCACCAGUCUGAGUCCCUAAAUCAGAGCUGGCUGUCUUUCAGAAAGGGAUGGUCAUACUCAGCUAGAAUAGAUUGGGGUGAUGCAGAGAUAAUAGGGCAAAAUAAUGGCACGGCUGCUUCUAUGCAGGAGAUCAGUUUAAAUGCUGGUCUCUUUUAAUCUUACUUUUUUUUUUUCACAAGGAAGGUGGUACAUACGCCCAUCAGCAUACAUGGUAGACUGCAGCUGGGUAUUAACUCUUUCAUUUAUGCAGGGCUGUGCAGCUCUGGGUAGAGCUGUUGUUCUGCCUCCCAAGCACCUGUUCAGGAAAAGAUCUUAAAACACAUUGUUUCAUAUUAAAAAAAAAUAUCAGUCUUUUGCUUCCAGCAUCUGGUGCAGAAGGACAGCCCUGCUCUUCCUUCGCUUACAGAGCAGUUGUGUUACACAGCUUGCUAGGUAAGGACAGGCCAGCACAAUUGUAUUGGUGCCAAGAAUAUUGCUGCUGAUUGAGAUCACUGAACCAUGUCAGAGCUCAGCUGCAUCCAUGUCAGAGAAGCAUGUCUGAGACUAGUUACAGCUAACAAGCCUCUAUUUGACAGGGAAAGUAAAAAAAAAAAGGACCAGAGUGAGAUUUAUGACAAUUUCAAGUACAGAAUAUGCAAUAUGAACAGAUGAGCCCUUAUAAUGUUAAGGUCCGUUUUACAUACAAAUACUUUCUGUGGCUAGAAAAAGAGAAAUUCAGAAAAUAAUAGAAAGAGAUACAACAAACCCUUCUUCAAGUAAAGUUUUUCUGCAUCUCCCAUGGGAUUCUGUUGAAUGGUUGAAGGCAAAAAAAAAAAAAAAAAGGAAGAACAGAAACUGCUUGCAACACAGAGCAAACCUUGAGUGCCAAGAACAUGCUCUGGAUUUUUGUGUAAGAUGUCUGGUUCUUAUCUCAGCCCUGAUUCAUCACAGUUUACUCUCAGAAUUAUUUGGAAUUCAAGGACCUUGCUCCUAUGGUGUUAAUGGGUUAUGUUCAGCACAGAAACCUGUGACACAAAGCAAUGUUUAAUUAUUCAGUCCAGACUGGUUUUUGUGGUUAAAUGAAAUAAAAAUAGCAAGAAGACCAAUUAUAUUGUUUUACAUGACUUACAUUUUGUAGGUGAAAUAUUUUUUCUCUUAACCAUGUAAUCCAGGACUGCACACAGGAAAGAGGAGCCACAUAAAAGAGGGGUUGGGCUGCUUGUGACAUGGAGGUUCAGCCUGCACAUGACUGAAGAGGAGAAGGAAAGCAUUGCCAUAAAAGUGACAGUAGAAGUGAAGAAUUGUGGUGGAUGUGUAAUGCACCACUGAAAGGAGAAAACAUACAAAGCUGGAAAUCUUAUCAUGUCUGGAGUCUUUCUAUUCCAAAGCAGGAUUUGAAGGGAAGAAGCUACAGCCCUUGUUGGCUCACAUCCCUUUCUUCAUAUAUGGGGAAAAAAAAUGUUGAAGCGAUAUGAUUACCAUAAUUGCUACCUCUGUUCAGAAAGACAAGGUGGUUUUCCACCCUGAAUUCAGCUCAGCCAGCCACCAUAGUACCAGUCAGGAACUAAUGCCACAAGCUGCAGCCACAAAUGUAUUGUCUCACACUUCAAAUGCACCAUACAGGAUGCUAAGGCACAUUACAGAUGCAGAAGCGCUGAAGUAUUAUGCAGCAUUCCUGUUACAAGGAAUUUGCAGGUAGCUAACCAACGAUACAGUGUCAAACAAACACUGUCAAAGGUAUGCUGCUCCAAUAGCUAGCAAAGCCAAUUUGAAAUGAUGGUUCUAAACAUGGGUUUUCUAUGAAGGCUCAGGCUUAACAUAUAAUUAUCUGAGCUCUGUUUGGAGGGCAUGCUGUGGCACUAGGUUGGAAAUAGGCAGGUCAAAGAAAUAAACAAGAUCAUUUCAAGCCAAAAUCAUCACCAAAUGCAGUCCUGCUGUGCAAAGGAGAAAUCAUAACAGGAUAAUAACUCCCAAACCUCCUCAGCUGUUGUCUAGCUGCAGCUGCCCAGGGGAUAGGCUCAAGAUAGAGCUCUCCCUGCUGCAAGAGGCACUGAAGCUCUGGUUAAGCAGGUAUCUGUGGUUUGGUAUAAAUUUUAAAGUCAAACUGGCUAAAUGACUUGCUGUAUAGGUAAAGCCUUGCAGUUUUCAUUGCUGUUCUCUUGCCUUCUCGCUCUGCUUUGUUGCAGUAACUGGUCUGCCUUGGUGGAUUUGGUUGUAAGUGGCCAUUCACAGCUGGCUCUAAUUUAAAAAUUCAAGGUGGUGGAGGGGCAGCUUUUAACCCAAAACAUUUUCUGAACUUCUUUAUUUUUUAAGAAGUCUUUCACUUGUAAGGUAUGUAAACUAAAACUGUUUGAAUGACAGAGUUUGGGAACUUUGGAAAGUUUGUGUUUAAGUUCUGUUUCACCUCUGCUUUCCUAUUCUUUUCUCCUCCUGUCUCCCUUUUGUUUUCAAUUGUAUCACUGAAAAGAGGGGCAAUGAGAGGAAAACAAAAUAAUGGAGAAAAUAAUAGAGUAUCAACGUACUACUUUUCCUUUAAAUGCAUGAGGAAGUUGUGAUUAUUUCUCAAUUUAUUUAUUUAUUUAUUUUUCCAAAACAAAGAAAAAAAUAUUAACUGUAUAGCUUUCUUUUUCACCAUGGUAUUUCAUACUGCUUACUGGUGAGAUGAUGGUUAAUAUUUAGAUAACCCAAGAAUGAGGAGACAGUGGUGUGUUCUUAGCAGAAUUAGCAUAAUGGAUGUACGAGGAGGAAAGAUAGAGUGCAGCCAUCGUGUGUUAGGCACAGAAGGGUUAUUGUCUGUGCCCCAAGAAGUAAGGAGUUGUUCUGCAAGUGAUGGUGGAGGAAAGGGAGUUUUGUACUCCCUUUGUGAUACAGAAAGAAAAGCAUUGCUGCGUAAAUGAUAGUCAAAGAGGAAAAGUAAAUUGCGUAUGACAGAGAAGAGUGGAGUAGUGUGACAUAAGUUGGAAAGUGUCCUUUGAAAGUCGAAAAGAAAAAAAAAGAGAGAGAGAAGAGGGACUGUAGUUGUGCAAGUAGGACUGGAAGGCAAGGUUUGCUAUGGGGGAAGAGUAAAAAUAAUAAUAAUAAAAAAAAAGUUGUAUGGCUAAGAAAAGAAGCACAAUUUAUUUCACAACCAAGCACUUGAAAUUUACAGGCAAAACAGUCCCCAUGCACAUGUAGUGCUGUGUCUCUGUAGUUAAAAGGAACACACCAUUUUCAGAAAUAUUUUGAGCAAUAAUUGAGUAAUGAUAUCUGAAAAGAUGCUUGCACAUAAAACCGAGAUCAGGAAGCACAAUAGGUGUACUGAGCUACUAUUCCUUAUUUUUCAUGGUUAGGAUUUCCAGUCUCCCAGCAAUAAGACAGAAGGGUCAUAACUACUUACCUAUAGAGAAGCAGUGAAAGCACAGAUGGAAGAGUUUUGUUGCUCUUGCGACAGAAAGAAGAACUGUUUGGGGCAUUUUCAGUGUCCAUGUCUACGUUCACAUUUCCACACCAUAUUCCACUUCGGCAGUCCUUCUGUAAGAUGUUAGGUAAUGGCAUGGGCUGUGGUGCACUUCAUUGGUUUUGUAUCAUGAGAAAGUAGAAAUAAGACCUUAAAAUAUUAAUUAUUUAUAUAUUUGUUAUGGCAGUACCUGGUUAAAGACUUCCAGUUAUUUGGGAAUUGGUUUGUUUUCAUACAAUGAUCCUGACACCCAGUUACUCAAACAUAUCACGCUCAAACACAGUGCAACACUUGGUACCAGGAACCACAUUUCAGAGGUGAAGCUGGGGUCAGACGCAUUCCUGCUAAUUGUACUGAUUGCAGGAGGGUUAUUCCCUGGUUGAAUUUGUUCUCUGAUGUUAAAAGGGAUAGCUGCUAAUUGCCUCUAAGGAGGACUCAGAAACAGAAAUGGGAGCUGGACAGUAACUCCCUGCCCAUGCACACACACACAGAUAAGUGUGCUAAUCUUUUGGGGGAGUGUGGUAUGUGAGGAGCAAGUGCAGGUCAAGCUAUGCAGGGGCUUGGAGUGUGAUACACAACCACUGAUGAAAAAUGUUUCUGCAUGCUCAUUUGUUUUGUAACAUUGAUAUUGACUGUGUAAAAGAAAUCUAGUAUAUUGACCUGAUUUAUUCAGAUCAGUUCUUCAAAUCAGUGAAGUGGCAUGGAUACCAGAUCAUUCCUGCAGUUCCUACAAUGUUCUGACCAGGCUCACAUUUGAAGCUUUUGCCUUUUUACAGUGUGCAUCUCCUGACCUUCAGGUACACUGCCCUGAAUGCACUGCCUUUGUGUGCUAUGAUGAUGGAGGCAGAAAAUUACCCUGAAGUUUAGCAGGCUUGGUUCACUGCUCAGCAGAGUUGGUGGAUGAUUUUCCAUUAGCUUCAAAAGUAAAGGAGCAGGGCAAAACAACUAACCCGAGUUGUUAUAAUCCUGUUUGUAGGCAAAGGAAAAUAUAGAGUGAUGCCAGCGAAGUAUCUGAAUUGGAAUGAUAAAGGCAAAUCUGGAACACCUUUGUAACUGUUACCUAGAACGUUAAAGGUUACGUAAAUAAGACUGACUUUUAAAAUGAUUUCUUAUAAAAGCUCUGCAAAAUAUCCACAAUGCCAUUUGCAAUUGUACCGCCAUAUUAGUGUGUGGUAUGAGUUCACUGCACAUUUCCCAGGUGGCAAGCAGUGACUGUGGAGCAAGUUUUGAUCUGAUACCAGGAGAAACUCGGUCUUGAUCUGAAACUUGUCAAGUUUAGGAUGAGUCAGUGUGGACUUGAACAUGAUCUCUGUAAUCAAAAUCAACAUAAUCCUUGCGAAUGAAAAAUGUGAUCAGCAACUGCAUGCUAACAGCACCUAGGGCAAGUCUUCUGGACCCGCUGGAAAGCAACCAUGGCCAGAGAAAAGUGUUUUGUGCUGGCCCCAUAGAACCUGUGGUCAGGCAGCUUAUCAUUAAGUCUCCCCCUUACCAAAACAUUGUCCCCAGGCAGAAACAGCUUUUCUGUUAGGUAAGUGUCUGACAAGGUGUUUUUGCUUGCUGAGGAGUUGAGCGUGACCUAAUUAAAGGUGAUCUAGCGGUGCAGAGUUCCCACUUGAUUUUGUUCUUCCCACAGGCUGGUAUUUUGCAACCCAAGACUUCAGCUCAAAUCCAUUGUGCAGAAAUAGUUUUGAACAUAAGGCAAGGCAGGGGAAAACAAUUUUUUCAUUAACACACCUGAGCUGUCAGAGAUUCUGUUCCCUCUGUUGAGGACGAUGAAAUUGCCAAUCCCAAAUGCUCCCUGCCCUUCUCUGAGAGAUAAGUGACUUCAUCAACACGAGCAGAACAAACAAAGAGCUCCGAACCAAGAUCUUGGCAGGUUCAAACCUUCCCAGUCCAAGAUGAGAAAACAAGGAAACACUUAGAGCAGUGACAGCAUCUGAGCCUUUUAACAAAUGAAAGGACCUACAGGCUAACGAUAAAGGCUUUAGAGCCAAUCGGCCAAGCUCAUCCCUGCUUUAAACCUGUUAUUCUUCCAAUUCAAACAACAGAAAAGGGGCAAACAAGAGAAAUCCUUGGUAGCAAAUGUGAUUAGAUGAAGCAAACAGUAAGAGCUCUGCAGUAAGUGCAGUUCAUCACACAAUUAGUUCCUUCCCAGCUUCACCAUCCAGACAUCCCUUCUCUGGCACAGUGCCAGCCAGGCAGUCAGGACUGAGCUGGGGGAUUAGAAAGUCAUGGUAGAUAUUUUUCUUAAAUUUGAGGGGGAGGGGGAAAGAGAAAAAAGGGAUUUCAGUGCUAUCAUUUCAAUAUUUAUUUUCUCUUCUAUAAUUUUAGAAAGCAUAGAGAGAACAGAGCUAUAAACAAUAUCAUUUAAAACAUGGGCCACAUUACUGCAGGUGCUUAUGAAACAGAAGCAGAGGUGACGUUUUAUGUAAUAUAUGUCUGUUCAGUUGGAGCAUUGGUUUGUUCUGGCUUUUUCUGUUUUUCUUUUUUAGGCAGUUGGAGUAGAGGAAUGAAAAUUAACCAGCGUUUCUCAAAAACAGUGGUUUGAUCAAAAAACAAGUGUCUGUGAAUGGAAAGAAGCCACAAGGAGAAGCACUAUGGCCUCUGACUGCACCCAGCUGCACGUGGCUUCACCAUUUGGGCCUGGUGAGUAGCUGAUGUGCUAAACAUAGCAGAGUAAUGAAAGGAAAAGGACUGCUAGUCAAGAAAAUAGCGCAUAGCUGCAGCCAUGAUGAUUACUAACAUAUGAAAAUCAUGGGAAAGAAGAAGCAUCCAUCUCACACUUGUUGUGCCAUUGCUUAGCUAGUUUUGCUGUCUCUGGCUGUUGCUUCAUUGCACUUGGUCAUAAAUGAAAGCUAUCUAAUGCUAAUGACCACAGUGCCCACCCUAAUCGUGCAUUUGAAAUAUUAAUAAAAAUAAUUUAUGUCAUGUGACUGCUUUUUAACUAGCUGCUUUCAGGACUUUAGAUCAGGAUUAUAAAAGAUGUGCAUUUAUAAAUUAUUAGCCUUGAGCACAUAAGCACUGCAUACUAUGGGGAGCACUUUUGUAGCACUUUAAAUUAAUUUAUUGUUAUUCAUUCCAGCUGUCUGUGAUGUAAACCUUUGGCUAUAAAUUUGUACCAUCAUCCAACACACCAUUAAACUAAAGUGGUGCCCGUGCUGGAGCAUAUAAUAAAACAUAUGAAUAAGAUUUCUGUGGGGACACUUUUUUUUAAACUCUCUUCUCAGUUAAUGGCACAAGAAAAGUGAGAUAACACAGUCACCCUGUAACUAUGCAUUCAUUAAAAUACGUCUGCUAGGGGGAGACUUUCAAAUUUGCACUUCUAUUGAAUUCUGAUUCAAUGUUUUUCUUUACCAUCUUGUUUCAAUUCAUAUCCUAUCUCAAACAAAAGGCUUUGCCUGAAUCCAUCAUGAGGUCAGCAAGUAGGACUGCAAGAAGAUUUUGUUGAACCUGAACUUCUCAAUAGUGGAAAAAGCUCCUCCCCACUGGAUCACAGACGUACAAAAGCAGAGUGGUUUUAUUGCCUUAUCUCCUCAACAGGCAGACAUUCUUUCUCCUACAGAUCUCCAUCAUGGUAACAAAACCUUAUCUGCAUGACUAGCACUAUAACAUCUUAAUCCACUUAACGGUAUAGAUACAUUUCAUAUCAGACCAUUGGGAUACAAUUUCCUAAAGAAAGUAGAAGUCUCAUGGUGCUCUCUUCCAAACUUUUCUCUUUUCAUAUUGGUCUCAUCUUGUCCACUUGCUUGUUAAGAGUUAUUGUGGCUUUUGUGACAGAUGACCCCUUCCAAACCUGCUAGGAGGAAGUCCUUCCCAUCUCAUACUUCCACUGGUUUCAGUAUGAGUUUCACAGAAUUUCCUCCUGCUCCUGGUAUCAAACCUAGUUGUGUGAGAACAGACAAAAAUGGAAUGUCACAUUCUCAGUGGAUAGAACACAGCACAGCUCCGCUGAUUUGUAUCAGCUGAUCAGAUACUGCAUACUUUUCAGGCUCAAAGUUUGCACCCAGUGGCAAGGUUUUUGGAAAAAUGACUAAGAGAAGAAAACAAUAUUCAUAAAGAAUAAUUUUUUUAAUUUAACUAAUCUCAUUAAUAUAAAGACUAUUUUAUUAAUUCUCUUUUCUAUUUAUUUGUAAAUCUCCACUGAAUUUCAAGGUUUGAGAAUCAAAGUUUUGGGAUCGCCACUAAGUGAACAACAAGGAGGAUAUCUGAACUUCUUGGGAACGUGUGCACUCCUGUGAUUUCCCCUGACAUACCAAAAAAAAAAAAAAAUGUCUAUAAGAAGGGUGUAUAAUACGGCGUUAAUCAUAGUUUAAGCGUCUCUGGCAUAGGUGGUUAGGACAAGAGAUAGAAAUCAGAUACCUGACUUGCUAAAGGAUCUUGGUUACUAGAUGAGAGCAUUAGCUGUUCCUCUAGCUGUGAGUGUGAAGGAUUGGAUGGCUGCAGCAGCCAUCCUUGUUUUGGGUUCCUCUCUCAUACAGAGAUUCUGUUCAUGAGGAGUUUCCUGGGAAUGAAGAUGCACCCUUCCACUUCCAGCUGUGUAGUAAUUCUCUACUGGUGAUUUUUUACCUUUUUUUCCACAGGUAUUUUCCAAGGUAAACUGCUUUUAUUUGUUUGUUUGUUUGUUUUAAGGUAUGUUUUAACUUAGUACAAAAGAAGAUCAUCUGAGGAGUAAGGUAUGUAGAGUUUUCUUUUUUUGUUAAUUGAAUUAUCACUGUCAUCUGAUAAAACAUUUGAAGGAAAAAUUCCUUUUGUGUAACACGUAGCUUACAACUACAAAAUAACUUAAAUGUCCCCAAAAGAAGGGAUUGCAUUGUGUUUGAGGUGCAGCUGCUAACAUGACAGGAUUCGCCUCUCAAUCUUUUCUGUUUCCUGUGCCUUAGUUUCCCCACUGGCUAUAUAUAAAGAAGGUGCCUUUUUUCCUUUGUACUUAAACUAUAGUAUUUAAAGAGGUGGAUGUAUUCACUAUGUACUAUCCAAGUUUGCUUAACAUUGCUUAAAUCCUCUAAAGGUGCCUGAUGGGGAAGAAGAGAUGCUUGUGUCCAGUUUCCAUGAUCCUGCUGACACUGGAGAUACCUGCUGUACAGGCUUUUUUACCUCACCUUGUUUGGUAUGUCCAAGCUCCCCAUUCCAUGACAGAGCCAAGCAGCUUCAGCCAGGCAUGAGGACCUUCGUACAUGAAAAGCAGUGAAGAGCCAUAUCCCUAAAGCAUGCAACUCUUGUAUAUGACAAAAGAUAAUGGGUGGAUACCAAGAAUUGAAGGUAACAGAAAGAAAGAGAGGACAUAUUUCCACAGCUUGGCAAAAGCAGUCUCCAAAGUCCUCAAACAGCUGUGGAAAAAUAGUGAAAGGAGAGCAAAUAGCCUGUUUGUCCUCUAUCUCAUGGACACAGUGCCUUGUGAGCCCUGGAGGGUAUCUGCUCAUAUCCAAGCUGUGAAAGCAGUUGCUGUGCCUGCCACAUCACAGCUUCAUAGACACACCAAUGCUUGCAGUACAGUCAAAAUAUGCUUUAAAGCCCAUUUCAGCAGCAAGCUCUCUGGAUUCUGUGCCAGGAAAUGUUAAUUACUGUGGUGCAGUGUUCUGUUUUCUGUGGUGCAAUAACAAUUAAUUUACACCAUUUGGAAAAACACUUUUUUAUUAAAAAUCAAUAGAAGCAAAUCAAUGCAAUGUAAAGCAUACAAUACCAAAAUGAAAAGCUCUUGUUUUUAUACUUGGGCAUCCUUAAUAAAAUUGCACUGUAGAUUCAGGCAGUUUGUCUAUUGUAAUCUAAUGAGAAGCUGUCAAGCUUCUUUUAAGCGUUCUGGAAAUUACCAUGUAUUGGGGCAGCCAUUUUUAGUCAAAGAAUUCAAUAAUUAACCCCCAAGUUGUAAGUCAAUAUGAUGAUGGUGCAGGUGCCGCUGCAUUUGUCUCUCUGCACUGCAUCACCUAUGCACCUGACAAUCUGUGGGACCCAUUUUGAAUCGAGAUGGAGGUUAAUUUUUAUUUAUAGUUAUAAUUAGAAAAACACUAGCUGUAAUGAAAACUGCUCCACCGCUGGAACAUAUCACCACAGAGUAAAUUCCACAGCAAUUUUUGCAUUUUAAUAGGUCAGAGAGUAACACAAAUGAAUUGCUUCUUCCUGGGGGAACUUGUUUAUUCUUUGGAAUUUAAUGAUUUACUGGAACACUGAUCUCAAAGAAAAAAAUCCCACAGUUGUUUUUCUACCAUUGCCUCAACUGCACAAGGUGCUGCAGACCCUGGGAAGGCAGCUCACACCUGUAAUUGUACAGCUCCUGAGGCUCCCCUGCACAAGGUACUGGGGCCUACCUGCCAGCUCCUCAGCACCCUGCUGCACAUGGCACAGGAGCUCAGGGACUUCUCCAGGAUGAUACAGCUCCACCACAGAAGUGCUCCCUCAGCCCACAGCAGGAUGCAUCCAGCUGCUACAGUAAGGAAUGCUUUACCCUUUAGGCACAAGCUGCUGUUCCCCUCCCCAUGGUCCACCGCCAUGGUCUGCACAUUUAUGAGUGCAGCCACAACUACAGCUGGUCUUCUCUGACUCAACCAGAGCAGGAAGAAGCAGGACAAUUUUAAUCCAAUGGAAGCACUCAUGGAAGCAGCCAAGGACAUAUCACUCUGGAAGGGCAGAUCAUCAUUUCCUUUCUCCAGACAGGACUACUAUGGGUUUGAGUUUGACUAUUUUAACGGUGAAUUGAUUUUUUGUGUGAAGUGAUCUAGGUAUGACAGUAGAUUUUUCAAAGUCAUUCGGUAGCUCAUGACAGUGGGCUGGGAGGACAGGUGUCAUCAAAUAAAAAGGUAUGAACUGGACUAAUUUAAAAGGAACGCAGAGGUUGUACAGAACUGCCAGAAACUCCAUCGCUUUGGUACAGCGAUGCAAGGAAAAUAGAAACAGUAACAAAAGAAGACUUUGAAAUUCAAAGUUUUACAAAACAGGAUAUUUGAUUUGGAUUGUAUCUAGAAAUUGCAAAAGCUUGGCAAAGCAUCACUGAGGUACUGCAAAAUAUUUGUAAUCUGCAUAAUCUUUAUAUGCCACAGUCUUUCCCUCUACUGUGGGAGCUGUGAUGUAACCAUGAAUUUGUUAUUGGGGUGGCUGACACUAAUGUUCUUACAUAUUAAAAAAAAAAAAAAAGACACGAG